GAUGAAGAACGUAGUGAAAUGCGAUAAGUAAUGUGAAUUGCAGAAUUCAGUGAAUCAUCGAAUCUUUGAACGCACAUUGCGCCCCUUGGUAUUCCGGGGGGCAUGCCUGUUCGAGCGUCAUUUCAACCCUCAAGCUCAGCUUGGUAUUGAGUCCAUGUCAGUAAUGGCAGGCUCUAAAAUCAGUGGCGGCGCCGCUGGGUCCUGAACGUAGUAAUAUCUCUCGUUACAGGUUCUCGGUGUGCUUCUGCCAAAACCCAAAUUUUCUAUGGUUGACCUCGGAUCAGGUAGGGAUACCCGCUGAACUUAAGCAUAUCAAUAGCGGAGGA
rnacentral:misc_RNA from 1 species